rnacentral:rRNA from 1 species
AUUGAACGCUGGCGGCAGGCCUAACACAUGCAAGUCGAGCGGAUGAAGGGAGCUUGCUCCUGGAUUCAGCGGCGGACGGGUGAGUAAUGCCUAGGAAUCUGCCUGGUAGUGGGGGAUAACGUCCGGAAACGGGCGCUAAUACCGCAUACGUCCUGAGGGAGAAAGUGGGGGAUCUUCGGACCUCACGCUAUCAGAUGAGCCUAGGUCGGAUUAGCUAGUUGGUGGGGUAAAGGCCUACCAAGGCGACGAUCCGUAACUGGUCUGAGAGGACGAUCAGUCACACUGGAACUGAGACACGGUCCAGACUCCUACGGGAGGCAGCAGUGGGGAAUAUUGGACAAUGGGCGAAAGCCUGAUCCAGCCAUGCCGCGUGUGUGAAGAAGGUCUUCGGAUUGUAAAGCACUUUAAGUUGGGAGGAAGGGCAGUAAGUUAAUACCUUGCUGUUUUGACGUUACCGACAGAAUAAGCACCGGCUAACUUCGUG